rnacentral:lncRNA from 1 species
AAAUUCAUAUCAACUGGUUUCUGGUGAACUGUAAUCUGAUAGGGAAUUACACUUCAUCUUAUUUUCAUAUUUGUUUUUUUGUUUUUCAGGUACGUAGACGAGAUGCAUACAACCAACAAAUUGUUCAAGUUGCACUAGAAAAGGAAAAGUUAUUCUUAAUCGAAAACCAGAUUUGAAUUUCAACAAUUGCUUCUUUCAUCAUAUAGUUAUUUCGUCCAUGACUGAACCAAACUUUAUUGUUUGUCUUAUGCAAUCAUGAAAAGUUACUUUUUUAUUCCAUACCAGUAUUCAUUGUGUGCUAGAUGAUCUCUUGUGAUUAUGAAACCAUUCAGUAUUAUGUCAUGACAUAUUGUUAUUAUUGUUAAAAAUUUGUUUGUUACAUGUCUUUCUUGAUAGAUAUAUUUUUGAUAGAUGUUUUUUUCACAUUUUACAGAUACACCGCAUUUGAUUAUCCCAUUGCUUUUUCUUUAUAUAUUUUACUAAAGAGUGAAAUACCGUAAAUCGUUCUUUUGAUUAAUGUAUGACAAGACCAAUUGACAGAUGAAAGUAUGCACAAUAGAAACUCUGUUCCUUACAAUUUGAAAGUUGUCCAGUUUUACCAUUACAACAGACGAGAGAAAGUGCAACUACUACUUGUGCAUUACAGAUAAUUAAAUCUCAAUCGUAUUUUUAAGCAUGGUGUAUGUGUUUUUCACAGUAUUACUAUAUAUUCAUUAGUCACUUCAGUAUUAGUGUAAACAGUAUUUAAAGUCUUGCUCAAAUCUUUUUGUUAUGCAAUACUUGUUAUUAAUGUUUUUGAGAGUUUAACAUACCAUUAUUAUUUAUAGACUUUCAUGUUUUGCAUAAUCUGCUGUCAUAAUAAAAUCAAUUUUAAAUGUCGAUAUGAAAAUAAUUUCAUAAGCCAUUAAGCUGAAAAUCCGUUUUAUGUUUGGAGUUACCAAUCGUAUUGUUGUGUAAUAGUGCGAAAAAUAACUUUAAAGUAAGGUUAAUCGUUAGUUUUAUAUAGUCAAUUUAAUUAUAU